UUCUCUUUUCUGUCUGAUUCUGUUUUGGUUUUAUUUGCUUUACUACACAUUCUUUACCAUUAUUUUCAGAUUUAUAUUUCUUCGUUUAUUCUAAAAGCAAGUAAUUUCGCAUUUUUUACAUUUACGCGUUACUAACAACAUAUUCAGAUCUUCAUUUAUCAACUCUAACACAAUAUUCUAACUAAAGUGAAAUAUUUUUUUACAAUAAUGUAUAAAAAAAAGUCGCGAUCUCCAAACAUUCAAUUCAAAACGAAUUAGCAUGGAAAACUGUGGACAAUGAAGCUGUCGCAAUUUAAUUUUUCGAACCAGUAUAAGUAGCUAAAAAUUUCUUACAACUUCUUUCGCUGCAACAAAAUAUCUAUAUUAUAAUAUAUAAAUAUGAAAUGCGCGCUUAAAUAAACAUCAUUUUACGCGCAUCAGGUGUCGUUGUCACACUCGGUCGUUUGGAUUGGGAUCUGCAAGGGUGUGCGCACGAUCUUCUGGCCACUUAUUAUACCCGGUUGUGUUCCAUUGAAACGUUUACCAGCAUCUUCCGGUUUGACACUGCUCAUUUCUGGCUUGUUUACGAUCGCCUGGUGACUAAUUGUGGGUCUUAUACGUGAUCGUUUCAACUACUCGUUCACCCUGCAUUUCCUCAACAUGUUGUCGUUCAUUGCUGCCAUCUCGUGGUCACUUGAGGCGUUGGUGCGUCGUUAUCGCUGUUAUGAAAAUAAUAUGAAUACCAUAUAUU